CCCACAUCACUUUUCUUGCCCUCCCCUCCCCCAGUUUCCCAUUUGGAAGAUUCUGAUGUGUAUAAUGUAUUUCGAUCAUAUUUCUCUCCCUUUCUAUAGGAAUCUUAACAAAUGUUCCUGCAGGGUCCAGGGUUUUAUGUCAAGGAUAUUUUGAACACGUCUCAGCGCUGUCUGGCUGCAUUCCAUGUCCCCUUCUCCCAGUGUAUGGACCUAUCGACCAGAAAGGCCCCUGCCAGAGCAUAUUGUGCUGGGCUGUCACGGGUGGCAGAAACUGCUGGCCUCUCUUUCCACGACCCACAGGACACAUUUGCACCUCCAGCAUUUUCCGCACAAAGCGUGCAUGAUAGCAACACCCGAGUGUGGUUCCGAAACUGUUUGCUACGCUGCUUUAAAAUUCAUCUUUCUCUUUGGCCUCUGGAAGUCCAGUGAGAGAUCUGAAACUUCCUCCUGUCUGCGUUUGCAUGUAGUAAUGUUGGGGGAACUGAAUGAUAUUGAAAAUUCCAGAAAUGAGGAGAAACAGACUAAAACCACUCAGUACUUGAAGAGGGAGUCAAGUGCUUUAGGAGCGACUUUGAACUACCUCAUGAGUCCAAGAUUUUUGAUUUAUGCAAGCUGUGCCUUAUCAAUGUGGGUAAGAUGCAAACAAUGAAAUUAAUAUUAUUUUCGCUAAAG
rnacentral:lncRNA from 1 species